GAUGAACGCUGGCGGCGUGCCUAAUACAUGCAAGUCGAGCGAACAGAUGAGGAGCUUGCUCCUCUGACGUUAGCGGCGGACGGGUGAGUAACACGUGGAUAACCUACCUAUAAGACUGGGAUAACUUCGGGAAACCGGAGCUAAUACCGGAUAAUAUAUUGAACCGCAUGGUUCAAUAGUGAAAGACGGUUUUGCUGUCACUUAUAGAUGGAUCCGCGCCGCAUUAGCUAGUUGGUAAGGUAACGGCUUACCAAGGCAACGAUGCGUAGCCGACCUGAGGAGGGGGUCCGCCACCCUUGAACUGAGGCACCGUCCAGACUCCUACGGGAGGCAGCAGUAGGGAAUCUUCCGCAAUGGGCGAAAGCCUGACGGAGCAACGCCGCGUGAGUGAUGAAGGUCUUCGGAUCGUAAAACUCUGUUAUUAGGGAAGAACAAAUGUGUAAGUAACUAUGCACGUCUUGACGGUACCUAAUCAGAAAGCCACGGCUAACUACGUG
rnacentral:rRNA from 1 species